rnacentral:lncRNA from 1 species
GCAGACGCGGGACGUGCACACAACGCGCACAUCCAAUCCACGUGCACGGCGUGGGGUUAAACCCUGUGCGCAUCAUGUCACCAUAGGUGGGCUGUCCGCGAGUCACCUCACGUGUGGACAGUGUCGCACAUUGUACGUGCGCCAUCCGAGCAGCAGGCCUACGCAGAUAAACCCUUAUGUGCCUGGGGCCUGCGCGCAGGCUAGCCCUUGUGCGCGCGACAGGUGGCCUAUGUGCCUGCAUCGCGUCGGGCAGGCUACUACCACCUUAGGCAGUGUGCCACCGUCACCUCAGGCGACGCAUUGCAACUGUUGACAGAUGAGGCCUUCCUCCCUCGUUUUUCAUGCUGAACAUUUUUUUUCUCUCUCUUCACUAGAUUUCUCCACUUGGUGUGAAUCCAAUGGUUCUAAAUUUCUAUAAAUAGGUCUUCCCUUCCCACUCUUUGCCACACUUUUAUUCUUCUAUUUUUCAAUACUUAGAGAGAAAGAGAGAGUGAUUUAGAGAGAGAAUGAGCGAAAGAAAAGAAGAACACUAAAGGAGGAAAUAUCAAGGUUUCCGUAAGGAAUUUAGUAUUUCUUUCGACGUCUUAGGGAGUAUUUUUAGAUUAAAAAAAUUAUUAAAUUAUGAUAGUUAUGACUUUGUCUUUUUUGCAUGCUUGUGUAUAUGUAGGUCUUAUUAGCUAAACAGUUCUUAUUUUCAAGCAUGCUAUGUGAUUUAUAGACACUUGAUGUUUUGCAUGUAAUAAAAUUAACAUGAACUCAGUAUUGUUACCUGGAAAAAUAAAAGAAACAAAAAGAAAGAAAAUGAAAUGAAACAUGAACGGUUCGAAGUAUGAAUCUAUUUUGACAUGCAUAAUGCAUCAAGAAUGUCGUUAGGUUUUUUAUUUCUGAGGGGUAUCUGUGUCCCCCUCCCCCACUGGUCUAGAAAGACGUAAGAGGACCGCUCGUUGUAGAUGAUGGCGUACCCUCUAACGAGAGUGGUGAUGUGAAUAUCUGUUAGGGGUCACCUUUGGCUAAGUAUUGUCGUGACUAUAGAUAUCUGAUAGGACCACUAUGGUUAGU